GAUGAACGCUGGCGGCGUGCUUAAUACAUGCAAGUCGAACGAAGAAGCCCAGCUGUCUGUGGGUAUUAGUUGCGAAGGGGUGAGUAACACGUGAGGAACCGGCUCGUUACUCUGGGAGAAGCCUGGGGAACUGGGUCGAAUACGGUAUAUAAUCGUCCACCGUAUGGAUGGUUGUGGGAAGAUUUAUCGAUUUGGGCUGUAGUCGCGGCCAAUCAGCGUGUUGGUGUGGUAUUGGCACCAGACGGCGAGGAGGGGUAGCCGGCCUGGGAGAGUGACCGGCCCCACUGGGCCUGAGAAACGGCCCAGACUCCUACGGCAGGCAGCAGUGGGAAAUAUUGCGCACUGGGCCGAAGCCUGAUGCAGCGUCGCCGCGUCAGGGAUGACGGCCUUCGGGUUGGAACCCUCUUUCAGUAGGGAAGAAGAGACAGUGACGGUACCUGCCGAAGAAGCGCCGGCUAACUACGUG
rnacentral:rRNA from 1 species